rnacentral:rRNA from 1 species
CCUACGGGAGGCAGCAGUGGGGAAUAUUGGGCAAUGGGCGAAAGCCUGAUCCAGCAAUGCCGCGUGAGUGAUGAAGGCCUUCGGGUCGUAAAGCUCUUUUACCAGGGAUGAUAAUGACAGUACCUGGAGAAUAAGCUCCGGCUAACUCCGUGCCAGCAGCCGCGGUAAUACGGAGGGAGCUAGCGUUGUUCGGAAUUACUGGGCGUAAAGAGUACGUAGGCGGUUAUUCAAGUCAGAGGUGAAAGCCCGGGGCUCAACCCCGGAACUGCCUUUGAAACUAGAUAACUAGAGUCUUGGAGAGGUUAGUGGAAUUCCGAGUGUAGAGGUGAAAUUCGUAGAUAUUCGGAAGAACACCAGUGGCGAAGGCGACUAACUGGACAAGUACUGACGCUGAGGUACGAAAGCGUGGGGAGCAAACAGGAUUAGAUACCCUGGUAGUCCACGCCGUAAACGAUGAUAACUAGUUGUUCGGUCACUUGGUGACUGAGUGACGCAGCUAACGCAUUAAGUUAUCCGCCUGGGGAGUACGGUCGCAAGAUUAAAACUCAAAUGAAUUGACGG